rnacentral:rRNA from 1 species
GGGUAGUAUUAGUUUUUUUUAUGAAAUCUAAAGAAUUUGGCGGCAUUUUAUCUUUUUAGGGGAACCUGUUCUUUAAAUGAUAAUACACGAUUAGCUUUACUAUAUUUAAAGGUUUGUAUACUUCCGUUAUCGGGAUAUUUAAUAAUAAUAUAUUCUUGUUUUUAUAUAAUAAAUUAUUUCAGGUCAAGGUGCAGCUUAUGAUAUAGUAUGAAAUGGGUUACAAUAAUAUUAUUUAUAUGGAUUUUUUUUUUAAAUUUUAAGAUGAAGGUGGAUUUAUUAGUAAGUUUUUAUAAUUAUAAAUUCUGAAUUAGUUCUAAUUUGUGU